rnacentral:rRNA from 1 species
CAUCAUGCCCCUUACUGACCUGGGCUACACACGUGCUACAAUGGGCGGUACAAAGGGCUGCGAACCCGCGAGGGGGAGCGAAUCCCAAAAAGCCGCUCUCAGUUCGGAUUGCAGGCUGCAACUCGCCUGCAUGAAGCCGGAAUCGCUAGUAAUCGCGGAUCAGCAUGCCGCGGUGAAUACGUUCCCGGGCCUU